rnacentral:rRNA from 1 species
UACGUAGGGUGCGAGCGUUAAUCGGAAUUACUGGGCGUAAAGCGUGCGCAGGCGGUUCUGAAAGUCAGCUGUGAAAGCCCCGGGCUUAACCUGGGAACUGCGGUUGAAACUACAGGACUAGAAUCUGGCAGAGGGGGGGUGGAAUUCCACGUGUAGCAGUGAAAUGCGUAGAGAUGUGGAGGAACACCGAUGGCGAAGGCAGCCCCCUGGGCUGAGAUUGACGCUCAGGCACGAAAGCGUGGGAGCAAACAGG